rnacentral:rRNA from 1 species
AUUGAACGCUGGCGGCAUGCUUUACACAUGCAAGUCGAACGGUAACAGGCCGCAAGGUGCUGACGUGUGGCGAACGGGUGAGUAAUGCAUCGGAACGUGCCCAGUCGUGGGGGAUAACGCAGCGAAAGCUGUGCUAAUACCGCAUACGAUCUAUGGAUGAAAGCGGGGGACCGUAAGGCCUCGCGCGAUUGGAGCGGCCGAUGUCAGAUUAGGUAGUUGGUGGGGUAAAGGCCUACCAAGCCAACGAUCUGUAGCUGGUCUGAGAGGACGACCAGCCACACUGGGACUGAGACACGGCCCAGACUCCUACGGGAGGCAGCAGUGGGGAAUUUUGGACAAUGGGCGCAAGCCUGAUCCAGCAAUGCCGCGUGCAGGAAGAAGGCCUUCGGGUUGUAAACUGCUUUUGUACGGAACGAAACGGUCUGGGUUAAUACCCUGGGCUAAUGACGGUACCGUAAGAAUAAGCACCGGCUAACUACGUGCCAGCAGCCGCGGUAACAC